ensembl:lncRNA C21orf62-AS1 C21orf62 antisense RNA 1
AGAUGAGGGAGGAGGAGGAGGGGAGAGGCCAGAGAGAGAAGCGGCUUUCGGGAAGGAAAGUGUGAUCUAGUAGGUGGAAUAGUCCUCUCCAAACUUUGACCUGAGAAUGACCCUCUAUUUGGAUUUGGAUUACACAAAGUUUAACGUUUUUUGGAAAAAUCCUACCUAGGUAAUGUGUAGUUCUCAAUGCAUCAUGUCAGGCAGCUUAUGAUGCCAAUUUGUCCCAUGACACCCCUGAGAGAGUCUUCGGCACAUAUGAUGUCCUCUAUUGAUGUUUGCUGAAUAGAUGAGGAUGCCAAAAGAGGGAGGAGAUACCAAAAGAGGGAAAGAAGGACACCCAGAAGACAAAUGGUGCUCACCUUGAGCCUCGAGGUCUUUAGGAAAACGGUGACUCUGGAGCACAGCCCUGGAUCCCUGAUGGCAGGUGGAUGAAUCUGCUCCCCACCUGGAUGCUGCUAGUCCUUUCUCCAGGCUCCGUGACUGAAAAUGUGCUUUACUUGGCAAAAGCUGUUUCUCCUCAGAACUCUAGAAAUCAGAUCUUGGCCCACCUCUUUCAGGCUGCACAGGAAGUGUUGUACUGACAUCUGCUUCUGGUGAGGCCUCAGGAAGCUUCCACUGGUGGCGGAAGGUGAAGAGGAAGCCAGCAUUUGCAAGAAAAAUCUGAAGUUAAGUUUUGCUUAUGUUUGCAAUCAAGCAAGGUUUAGGUCACUUAAGAGGCCUAACUUGUUUUGUCUGCUCAGAGAUUCUUCAGGCCUGACCUCCACUUUAAUUUACUUGAAGAGCAUCGAAUAUGAAUCUGCAGAAUUUCAGUGAAACUAUAGAGGAAGAAUGGAGGAGGUGGAGCUGAGGCAGUAAUGCGAGUGAUGGGGAGCAGCUGUAAAUACAGAUGAAGCUUGGCUCGCUUGCCUGCUGCUCAGCUCCUGCUGUGCGGGCUGGUUCCUAACGAGCAAGAAGAAACCUGGAGGACACUUUGGUUUCAUCAAGCAACACUUGCCACCAGGAAGGCGUUGAGUGCCAAUUCCACACCCAAUACCCCCAGAGAGGCUAGAGGACUCAAUCAAAGUCACAUAAGGGGAAGAACCAGUUAGUGACAGAGUCCAUUUCCACCAUUUGAAGCCGCAUUUGUGACCCUUCACCAGCUGCUUCCUUGAGCUUGGUGAACACAUGGCCUCGCUGUCUUCUCUGCGUCACUGGGACUAUCUUCUGUGAUCACUGAAGAUGAUGGUUGUGAAUAAUGGUGGCAUCAGGAAAGUGCGGUGGCGGCCACUUACUGGGAGUUACUGGGAGCUUACUGUGUGCCAGGCAUGGUGCUAAACCCCUGCUUGUGUUGUCCACGUGGCAGGAAUUAUCAUCAUUUCACAGAUUAACAGACGUAGGUGCAAAAGGCUAAGCCAUUUGCCCAGGUCACAAACAAUUGUUGGGGCUGGAAAUGAGGCCUCCUGUGUGACUCACAUCCAUGCAUUUACCUGCCAGCUCCUCUCCCCAGGGCUCUGCUUCUGUAACUCUCAGUUGGCAGGUGGAGACCCUCCCUAAAUGAUUGAUAGCCAGGUUUCCUUUGAAAAGCCUCCUGAUAUGGUUUGGCUGUGUCCCCACCCAAAUCUCAUCUUAAAUUGUAGUUCUCAUAAUCCCCAUCUGUCAUGGGAUGGACCAGGUGGGAGGUAAUUGAAUCAUGGGGGCUGUAACCCUCAUGCUGUUCUCGCGGUAGUGAGUUCUCCCGAGAUCUGAUGGUUUUAUAAGGGGCGUUUCCCCCCUUGCUCGGCACUUCUCC